AUGUUCGCUUCAGCAGCAUAUAUACUCAAAUUGGAAUAAUACAGAGAAGAUUAGAAUGGCCCCUGCCCAAGGAUUACAUGCAAAUUCGUGAAGCGUUCCAUAUUUUU
ensembl:snRNA U6 U6 spliceosomal RNA